rnacentral:misc_RNA from 1 species
UUUCCGUAGGUGAACCUGCGGAAGGAUCAUUAUUGGAUUUUGAAACUUCAGGCUGCUGCUGGCUCUCCUCGGAGGGCAUGUGCACGCUUGUUGUCCAUUAUUUCUCCCACUGUGCACAAAUUGUAGACCUUUCAGUAGGCCUAUGUUGUUUUUCACAAUCUCUGAAUGUAAUAGAAUGGUUUUGAAUCUUGGGAAAUACAAUGCAACUUUCAGCAACGGAUCUCUUGGCUCUC